rnacentral:rRNA from 1 species
AAACUGAAGAGUUUGAUCCUGGCUCAGAUUGAACGCUGGCGGCAUGCCUUACACAUGCAAGUCGAACGGCAGCACGGGUGCUUGCACCUGGUGGCGAGUGGCGAACGGGUGAGUAAUACAUCGGAACAUGUCCUGUAGUGGGGGAUAGCCCGGCGAAAGCCGGAUUAAUACCGCAUACGAUCUCUGGAUGAAAGCGGGGGACCUUCGGGCCUCGUGCUAUAGGGUUGGCCGAUGGCUGAUUAGCUAGUUGGUGGGGUAAAGGCCUACCAAGGCGACGAUCAGUAGCUGGUCUGAGAGGACGACCAGCCACACUGGGACUGAGACACGGCCCAGACUCCUACG